GAAGCGUCUGGAAAGGCGUGCGAUACAGGGUGACAGCCCCGUACACAAAAAUGCACAUAUUGUGAGCUUGAUGAGUAGGGCGGGACACGUGGUAUCCUGUCUGAAUAUGGGGGGACCAUCCUCCAAGGCUAAAUACUCCUGACUGACCGAUAGUGAACCAGUACCGUGAGGGAAAGGCGAAAAGAACCCCGGCGAGGGGAGUGAAAAAGAACCUGAAACCGUGUACGUACAAGCAGUGGGAGCACGCUUAGGCGUGUGACUGCGUACCUUUUGUAUAAUGGGUCAGCGACUUAUAUUCUGUAGCAAGGUUAACCGAAUAGGGGAGCCGAAGGGAAACCGAGUCUUAACUGGGCGUUAAGUUGCAGGGUAUAGACCCGAAACCCGGUGAUCUAGCCAUGGGCAGGUUGAAGGUUGGGUAACACUAACUGGAGGACCGAACCGACUAAUGUUGAAAAAUUAGCGGAUGACUUGUGGCUGGGGGUGAAAGGCCAAUCAAACCGGGAGAUAGCUGGUUCUCCCCGAAAGCUAUUUAGGUAGCGCCUCGUGAAUUCAUCUCCGGGGGUAGAGCACUGUUUCGGCA
rnacentral:rRNA from 1 species